AUUGAACGCUGGCGGCAUGCCUUACACAUGCAAGUCGAACGGCAGCGGGGGAGAAGCUUGCUUUUCCUGCCGGCGAGUGGCGAACGGGUGAGUAAUACAUCGGAACGUGCCCUGUAGUGGGGGAUAACUAGUCGAAAGAUUAGCUAAUACCGCAUACGACCUGAGGGUGAAAGUGGGGGACCGCAAGGCCUCAUGCUAUAGGAGCAGCCGAUGUCUGAUUAGCUAGUUGGUGGGGUAAAGGCCUACCAAGGCGACGAUCAGUAGCUGGGCUGAGAGGACGAUCAGCCACACUGGGACUGGGACACUGCCCAGACUCCUAAGGGAGGCAGCAGUGGGGAAUUUUGGACAAUGGGCGAGAGCCUGAUCCAGCAAUGCCGCGUGUGUGAAGAAGGCCUUCGGGUUGUAAAGCACUUUUGUCCGGAAAGAAAUGGCUCUGGUUAAUACCUGGGGUCGAUGACGGUACCGGAAGAAUAAGGACCGGCUAACUACGUGCCAGCAGCCGCCGUAA
rnacentral:rRNA from 1 species